AGCAGAAUGCCUGAAUAAAGGGUUAUUUUGAUAGAAUAAAUUAUGUAAUUAAUUACUUCUGCUA
rnacentral:tRNA from 1 species